GACGAACGCUGGCGGCGUGCUUAACACAUGCAAGUCGAACGGAAAGGCCUGCUUUCCCUUGUGGAUUGCGGGUACUCGAGUGGCGAACGGGUGAGUAACACGUGAGUGAUCUGCCCCCAACUUGGGUAUAAGCCUGGGAAACUGGGUCUAAUUCCCGAUAGGACUGCAGGGUGGUGCCUGUGGUGGAAAACGAUUUUCUAGUGGUUGGGGAUGAGCUCGCGGCCUAUCAGCUUGUUGGUGGGGUAAUGGCCUACCAAGGCGGCGACGGGUAGCCGGCCUGGGAGGGUGGACGGCCACAUUGGGACUGAGAUACGGCCCAGACUCCGACGGGAGGCAGCAGUGGGGAAUAUUGCACAAUGGGCGGAAGCCUGAUGCAGCGACGCCGCGUGGGGGAUGACGGCCUUCGGGUUGUAAACUCCUUUCGACCGCGAGGAAGCCACCUGGUUGGAAGGGUGGUGACGGUAGUGGUAGAAGAAGCACCGGCUAACUACGUG
rnacentral:rRNA from 1 species